AAGCAGAAGGAAUCUCAUUUUCAACAGCUACAUCACAAACCCAUGGAAGAAAAGGAUUGUUUAUGAUACAAGAAAUCGGUGUAUUUGACUCAUUCUUGAUCAUUUGAGAAAGAAACUGUUUCCCAACAAGCUCGAGGUGUGGUAAGUAGGUAGUUUGACUUGUUCUAAUGGGAUCAUCAUCUGAUAAACCGUCAUCAAAGAACUGAAAUGUGAGAGAACCAUUACCAACUGGAAUGACUAAUUUUUCAGUGAUAUUGUUAACAGUUCUCAAUUCUUUGCCAGCUUUCUCUGUUGUGAUGAAGAUAACAGAAGAACCCUUUGAUGCAAGACACUUUCCUAGUCUAAGCAUAGGAUUUAUGUGUCCUUGUGCUGGAUAUGAUACAAGGAGAAUUUUAAGGGGAGCUUUGGUAUAUUCCAUUUUCAUUUUCUUCCCUGCUUCUCUUCUUCAAAGUCAAGGAUAUAUAAUAGAAUAGACAGUUCUUAUUAUUAGCAAGAUUAGAUGCUUUUUCUAUUUUAUUAUUAAGAUAGUAAUAAUCAUCGUGUCACACAUGGGAAUAAAAAAAUAGUUGUAUGGUUCAACACUCCGUUUCUUACUAGUAUUUUGGUACAAAACAUAAUAAUCAUCUUGAAUCUGAAAAGGAACAGGGUAAGUGUUGGGUAUGCAGUAGGACCUACUAAUUAAUUAGAAAAAUAAAAAGAAAGAAAUAAAACAAAUAAAAAUGUGUGUGAGCAUUAACAAAGGAGCACCCAUAAGAGCUAGGCCGGGGUGAGGCAUACUUUUAAAAAUCGGACCGAUGAUCGAUUCGGUAAGGGUAUUGAGUCAUUGGAUCAUUGGUUGUACCAUUAUGUCACUGGUCGAACCGUAUGGCUCGGUUAUAUGACUCGAUUUAUAUAAAAAAAUUAUUUAUGUUAAAUUAGACUAAACCGAAUGACUUUGAACUCAAAAAAAUUAAUUUAUUUUUUACACUUAAUAGAAGCACAUUUUUACGACAUAAAUAAAAACAACUUUGAUAGAAUUUUUUUUUUAAGGGAAAACAACUGGAUAGAUAUCCCUUGAAUUUAUAUGCAUAUAUUUUUUAUGGAUAUAAUACAUGUUCAAAUAAGUAUUUAAAAAAGCAAAAGUGUGCUAAAAAAUAGUAGUAAUCAAGUAAAAAAUGUUUAUUAUAAUAUCUGAGAUGCCCGUAGAUAAUAUGUAAAUGAUAAGAGUGUACUCGAUUCUUUAAAAAAAAAUAAAAAAUAGAGUGUGCUUGGUUAAAAAAAAAAAUGUUCAGUUAUUAAAUAUAAAUUAUAUCGAAAACAAAAGAGGUUCAUGUUGCAGUGGAUAAGUGAUUGCGUUGCAAUAUAGGGGACGCGGGUUCAACACUCGGCGUUGACCGAUUGCUCUACACAUCUUUUAAAUAAGUAAACUCAUUACUUAUGUGGGUGAACACGUAAAAUGUGUUUUGUAAAUUUUGAAUUGAAAUUUUUAUUUUAAUUAAAAGGUAUAUUAAUAAUUUUGGGAUAUAACUUGGAUUAUUUCGGGUGUGGGUAGUAAGUAUAUGUCAAUCUUAUUCAUAAUGUAAUAAAAACAGAACUUUAACUUCUCUAUAGUUAUUGAGGUAGACAAAAUUGACCAAAUUAUGUUAAGAUUAAGGUUUAAUUGCAGUUUUGACCCCCUAUGUUUUAAGAAGUUGCGAUUUUGAUCCCUAACUAAAUAAACUACAAAACCGCCCUUUAAGUAUUAACUUUUUUUUGCAGUUUUGGUCCCGUGUCAAUUUUGACCAAGUCUAACGGAUACUAUAUUGUUUCUAUUUUAUGAAUAAUAUAAUAAUCACAUCUUGCUCGCAUGAGAAUUAAAAAUUGUUGUGUUAUUCAGCACUCAAUAGUCAAUACUUUUUCAUGAUAGUUUUUUUUUUUUUUUUUUUUUUACGAAACAUAUCCUGUGAAAUCUGAGAAGGAACGAGACAAGAAACAGGGUCGUGUAAUCAUACAUGUUCCUUUUUGCAUGGUUUCUUUGGGAAAAUUAGUAGACCUUGCAUUCUUUAUAUUGAGAUUUUGGGUUUAUACCAUGGUUUGAAGUUGUGUUGGGAUACUCGAAUUUAAGCAUGUGGUGUGUCUCUCUGAUUCAACUAUUGUUGUUGACCUCAUCCAAAAGGAUUUGAAUUUUCAUCACAAAUAUGGGAAUUUAGUCAUGACUAUUAAACACAUUAUUCGUAGAGAUUGUGUGGUUAGUUUAUGACAUACUUUACAUGAGGGUAACACUGCAGCUAAUUUUCUAGCUAAGAAGGGGGCUCUUAGUGAUAGUAGCUUUGUUAUUUUGAAUCAAGCCCCUCCUGAUAUGACAUCUAUCGUCUUGAUGGGUGUUGAGUUUGUUCGACCCUAGUAUGAGUCUUUUUUAGUUUUUUUUUCCUUCCCUUUUGUUACCAAAAAAAUUAAGAAAUAGUAUACAAACAAAGACAACUUUUGGGUACCAAAUAAAAAAAUAGUCGUUAUUCAAGAACUUUUAGAUAAGAAGAAGCAUAUCUCUUCUAACUUAAUCAAUGUCGUGGGUUUGAAUUCAGUAUUGAGCAUGUAACAGCGUUAAAACUCUUUAGAAGAAUAUGUCCUCUAUUUAGAUCCGCAGUUACAUGUAGAAGAUACCUAGUUAACACCAAUAAAAAAAGACAACUUUUGUUUGUUGGCACAUAAAAUUGAAGACUACAUAAAUAUUUGAUUCUUUCAAACUGUAAAGUGAGAUAAUUUACUCUUUUAAAUUUGUAAAACAAUAGCAGUUUAGUCUUUUAAUUAAAAUUUCAGUUUUUAUUUUUGUUGAUAGAAGUUAAGGCUGACAGGUAUAAAUCAGAAGCUGAUAGUGCAGUAACAAAUCCUUAUUCAAUAGAAGCAUGCAUGGAAUUGCUUGACUCCAUGGAAGACGUUCCAAGUAAGUUUUACAAUAAUGCGUUGGUGAAGUUUAAAGAUAAGGAUUGGAGACUUAUGUUUAUUAACGCGUCAUGUCAUAGUUUCUAACGAUAACGUUAACAUAUGGACUAUUUUGACCGAAUUUUCACAAUUUAAGGGAUGUAUUUACCAAUAUAGAAAAUUCAGAAAUUACUUUUAUAUCUUUGGUUUUCGCACACGUAAAUUUAUUUUGAACAUCGGUUUUUUGGGCAUGUAUUUCGUACACCAUGGACAAGGCACAUAAUCAAGACAACUUAUUACAUCUUUUGAAUCGUGUCUUAAUGUCUUCCAUAAAUGCAUCAAUAUGCCGAUCAGAGGAACCACCUACCGCAACUGCAGCCUCCGCUGCCUUCUUCCACUUGAUUGUGUUUUGCUUCAACAUCUCUGCUUUUGGCCCUGCCAUUGCUUCCAAUAAGCAUUUCUUCACCUCAUCUCUACAUACCAAUCUAUUUUCCGCCUGACUAUAACCCAAUCUGACCCCUACCUCAAAAACAUCUACCAAGAACUUUGCAUUUGUAACUUGAUCACCCCAUGCUGGAAAUGUUAACAUCGGCACUCCUAAAGUAAGUGCCUCCAUCGACGAGUUCCAACCACAAUGUGUCAUGAAACAUGCCACUGAAGGAUGAGCUAGUACUUGUUCUUGUGGACACCACUUCGCAACUUUUCCUUUCCCACUAGUUUCCUCCAAGAACCCAUCAGGCAAACAAUGUGGUUUGAACCCCACAUGUUUAGCAUUAAGAGAUGGUUUUACUUUUAGUAUCCACAAAAAGGAGACUUGAGAAUCCAAUAAUCCAUAGGCAAUUUCAUUCACUUGUUCUUGAGGAAGGUGCACAAUAGUCCCAAAUGAGAUGUAUACCACAGAUGAUUGUGGCCUUGAGUUUAACCACUCUAUAAUACAAUCAUCAUCACUCUUAACUAAAUCACCACAGAUAUUACUUGCAGUUUUUGUUUUUGGGUUUUGAAAUAAAGGACCAAUGGGUCUUAUUAAGACAGAAUAUUUUGAAAUAUAAUUUAUGAAAUCAUGUUCCAAUUCCUCAUAGGUAUCCACCAAUACACAAAACACUUUAGACAAGUUCUUAAUCUGUUCCAAUAAGAGUGACCCAAGAAAUGGAUACUUACUAAAACAAUGAAGGAAAUCUGGUAUUUCAUUGUAUUUAAGGACUAGAGAAGACAAUUGAACAUCAAUAUAAGGUUCUGCAUUCGAAGGGAAACGUACCAGUUUGUGAAAAUAGUUAUAGUAAGCUGCGAAAACAGCACCGGAUUGAAUCCAUAAUAAAGCAGAAGGAAUCUCGAGUUCAGCAGCUACAUCACUAACCCAUGGAAGAAAAGGAUUGUUUAUGAUACAAGAAAUCAGUGUAUUUGACUCAUCAGCAGCAUGAUUCUUGAUCAUUUGAGAAAGAAACUUUUUCCCAACGAGCUCGAGGUGUGGUAAGUAGGUAGUAAGGCUUGCUCUAAUGGGAUCAUCAUCUGAUAAACCGUCUUCAAAGAACUCGAAUGCGAGAGAACCAUUACCAACUGGAAUGACUGAUUUAUCAAUGAUGUUGUUAACAGUUCUCAACUCUCUGCCAGCUUUCUCAGUUGUGAUGAAGAUAAC
rnacentral:lncRNA from 1 species